AACGAACGCUGGCGGCAGGCUUAACACAUGCAAGUCGAACGCCCCGCAAGGGGAGUGGCAGACGGGUGAGUAACGCGUGGGAAUCUACCUAGUUCUACGGAACAACAGAGGGAAACUUCUGCUAAUACCGUAUACGCCCUAAGGGGGAAAGAUUUAUCGGAAUUAGAUGAGCCCGCGUAAGAUUAGCUAGUUGGGGGGGUAAUGGCCUACCAAGGCGACGAUCUUUAGUUGGUCUGAGUGGAUGAUCAGCCACACUGGGACUGAGACACGGCCCAGACUCCUACGGGAGGCAGCAGUGGGGAAUCUUGCGCAAUGGGCGAAAGCCUGACGCAGCAACGCCGCGUGCGGGAUGACGGCCUUCGGGUUGUAAACCUCUUUCAGUACCGACGAAGCGAAAGUGACGGUAGGUACAGAAGAAGCACCGGCCAACUACGUGCCAGCAGCCGCGGUAACAC
rnacentral:rRNA from 1 species